CAGCAGCCGCGGUAAUACGGAGGGGGCUAGCGUUGUUCGGAAUUACUGGGCGUAAAGCGCACGUAAGCGGCUUGGUAAGUUAGAGGUGAAAGCCCGGAGCUCAACUCCGGAAUUGCCUUUAAGACUGCCGAGCUAGUAGGUGAGAGAGGUAAGUGGAAUUCCUAGUGUAGCGGUGAAAUGCGUAGAUAUUAGGAAGAACACCAGUGGCGAAGGCGACUUUCUGGACGAAAACUGACGCUGAGGCGCGAAAGCCAGGGGAGCAAACAGGAUUAGAUACCCCUGUAGUCCCUGUCUCUUAUAC
rnacentral:rRNA from 1 species